rnacentral:rRNA from 1 species
UCGAAGUUCAGAUUUGACUUAGUGGCGGACGGGUGAGUAAUGCAUGAGCAACCUGCCCUGCAGUGGGGGACAACAGUUGGAAACGACUGCUAAUACCGCAUGAUGUAUCUGGAAGGCAUCUUUCGGAUACCAAAGAUUUAUCGCUGUGGGAUGGACCCGCGUCUGAUUAGCUAGUUGGUAAGGUAACGGCUUACCAAGGCGACGAUCAGUAGCCGGACUGAGAGGUUGACCGGCCACAUUGGGACUGAGAUACGGCCCAGACUCC